UACGAAGGGGGCUAGCGUUGUUCGGAUUUACUGGGCGUAAAGCGCACGUAGGCGGGUCGUUAAGUCGGGGGUGAAAUCCUGGAGCUCAACUCCAGAACUGCCUUCGAUACUGGCGAUCUUGAGUCCGGAAGAGGUGAGUGGAACUCCUAGUGUAGAGGUGGAAUUCGUAGAUAUUAGGAAGAACACCAGUGGCGAAGGCGGCUCACUGGUCCGGUACUGACGCUGAGGUGCGAAAGCGUGGGGGAGCAAACAGGG
rnacentral:rRNA from 1 species